rnacentral:rRNA from 1 species
AAAGCAUCUAAGCGGGAAGCGAGCCCUGAGAUGAGUCUUCCCUGAUACUUUAAGUAUCCUAAAGGGUUGUCGGAGACUACGACGUU